rnacentral:misc_RNA from 1 species
CCCAACUAUCCCUAUUAAUCAUUACGGUGGUCCUAGACCAACAAAAUAGAACCAACGUCCUAUUCUAUUAUUCCAUGCUAAUCUAUUCAAGCAAAAGCCCGCUUUAAACACUCUAAUUUUUUCAAGGUAAUGGUCCUGGUUCCCCGACACACCCAAUAAAGGGCAUACCGGCUCACCAGAAGGAUAGACCCGACAACAGACAGUACUCGCCAGAGACGGACCGCCCGGUCAGGUCUAAAAUUCAACUACGAGCUUUUUAACUGCAACAACUUUAAUAUACGCUAUUGGAGCUGGAAUUACCGCGGCUGCUGGCACCAGACUUGCCCUCCAA